rnacentral:rRNA from 1 species
UCCUCACUUUAUUAUUUGAGGUAUGGCCUGCUCAAUGCGAUUAAAGUAAAUAGCCGCAGUACUCUGACUGUGCAAAGGUAGCAUAAUAAGUUGGCCUUUAAUUGGGGUCUAGAAUGAAUGGCUCGACAAGGAUUUAACUGUCUUAGGAUAAGACUUCUUGAAGUUGAAUUGUUUGUAAAAAUGCAAACAUGAGAGAGAGGGACGAGAAGACCCUAUAGAUCUUUAAAGAAUAAUUAAAAUAUGUUUUAAGGUUUUCUUUUUAUUUGGGGAAAAUCCUGAAAUAGUUGAGUAGAGUAAACUUCGGUUAAUGAGAAAAUUUAAUGAUUGAACUUUGAUCCAUUUAAGAUGAAAAGAUGAAAAAGUUACCUUAGGGAUAACAGGACAAUGAUCUCUUAUUAGAGGUCUCAUCUUAAGAGACGUUUGUUACCUCGAUGUUGAAUUAAGUUAUCUUAGUAAAGUAGAAGUUACUAAAGUUGGUCUGUUCGACCAUUGAAAAC